rnacentral:tRNA from 1 species
GAGUCCGUGGCUCAUUGGUAGAGCGUUGGACUAAAUGAACAAUGGUUGGGAUUCGAAUCUCACGUGCUCA